AAUGAACGUUGGCGGCGUGGAUUAGGCAUGCAAGUCGAACGAAUCCCAGUGGGGGUAACUCUGCUGGGGGAAGUGGCGAAAGGGGCAGUAAGGCAUGGGUAACCUACCCCCGGGACGGGG
rnacentral:rRNA from 1 species